UGAGAAUUUCGGAAUAUCUUUGCCCGAAGGCCUGAUUGUAUCUUGAAAGUUCAGAUUUCUUCCCUGUGAUGAUCUGUUCUCUUUACCUAAUUCCGAAUUUGCGCCUAACUUUCUCUGAAUAUCGCACAAAUUUGCAUCCAGCGUUUUGGUAACCAUGGAAAAUUGUGCUACUGUUGCAUUAAGUAACAAUGCCUGCUCACUUUGUUCU
rnacentral:lncRNA from 1 species